UGAUGGAGCAUGCCGCGUGAGUGAAGAAGGGUUUCGGCUCGUAAAACUCUGUUGUUAAAGAAGAACACCUUUGAGAGUAACUGUUCAAGGGUUGACGGUAUUUAACCAGAAAGCCACGGCUAACUACGUGCCAGCAGCCGCGGUAAUACGUAGGUGGCAAGCGUUGUCCGGAUUUAUUGGGCGUAAAGCGAGCGCAGGCGGUUUUUUAAGUCUGAUGUGAAAGCCUUCGGCUUAACCGGAGAAGUGCAUCGGAAACUGGGAGACUUGAGUGCAGAAGAGGACAGUGGAACUCCAUGUGUAGCGGUGGAAUGCGUAGAUAUAUGGAAGAACACCAGUGGCGAAGGCGGCUGUCUAGUCUGUAACUGACGCUGAGGCUCGAAAGCAUGGGUAGCGAACAGGAUUAGAUACCCUGGUAGUCCAUGCCGUAAACGAUGAGUGCUAAGUGUUGGAGGGUUUCCGCCCUUCAGUGCUGCAGCUAACGCAUUAAGCACUCCGCCUGGGGAGUACGACCGCAAGGUUGAAACUCAAAGGAAUUGACGGGGGCCCGCACAAGCGGUGGAGCAUGUGGUUUAAUUCGAAGCUACGCGAAGAACCUUACCAGGUCUUGACAUCUUCUGCCAAUCUUAGAGAUAAGACGUUCCCUUCGGGGACAGAAUGACAGGUGGUGCAUGGUUGUCGUCAGCUCGUGUCGUGAGAUGUUGGGUUAAGUCCCGCAACGAGCGCAACCCUUAUUAUCAGUUGCCAGCAUUCAGUUGGGCACUCUGGUGAGACUGCCGGUGACAAACCGGAGGAAGGUGGGGAUGACGUCAAAUCAUCAUGCCCCUUAUGACCUGGGCUACACACGUGCUACAAUGGACGGUACAACGAGUUGCGAAGUCGUGAGGCUAAGCUAAUCUCUUAAAGCCGUUCUCAGUUCGGAUUGUAGG
rnacentral:rRNA from 2 species